rfam:Stegodyphus mimosarum contig79062, whole genome shotgun sequence.
GCUUUCGUGGUGUAGUGGUCUGCAUGUUCGACGCGUAGCCAAGAGGUCCGAGGUUCGAUUCCCGGCGAAGGCG